GAGUUUGAUCAUGGCUCAUGACUAACGCUGGCGGCGUGCUUAACACAUGCAAGUCGAACGAUGAAGCCUAGCUUGCUAGGUGGAUUAGUGGCGAACGGGUGAGUAAUACGUGAGUGACCUACCUUUGACUCUGGGAUAAGCCUGGGAAACUGGGUCUAAUACCGGAUACGACCAGAUCUCCGCAUGGGGUGUUGGUGGAAAGCGUUAUGGAGUGGUUUUAGAUGGGCUCACGGCCUAUCAGCUUGUUGGUGAGGUAAUGGCUUACCAAGGCGACGACGGGUAGCCGGCCUGACAGGGUGACCGGCCGCUCUGGGACUGAUACACGGCCCAUACUCCUACAGGAGGCAGCAGUGGGGAAUAUUUUAUUAUGGGCGCAAUCCUGAUGCAACGAGGGGGGGGGGGGGAAGACGGCCUUCGGGUUGUAAACCUCUGUUACCAUCUAACAAGCCAAAGUGACGGUGGGUGGGAAUAAAGCGACCAGCUAACUACGUGCCAUCAGCCUCAGUAAUACAUGGGGAGCGAGCGUAGUCUCGAAUUAUUGUGCGUGGACACCUUGCUAACUGUUGGUCUCAUCCGCUGUGAAAGGCUGGGGCAUAACCCUGGUUUUGCAGUGCGUACGGGCUAACUAGAGUGCAGUAGGGGAGACUGGAAUUCCUGGUGUAGCGGUGGAAUGCGCAGAUAUCAGGAGGAACACCGAUGGCGAAGGCAGGUCUAUGGGCUGUAACUGACGCUGAGAAGCGAAAGCAUGGGGAGCGAACAGGAUUAGAUACCAUGGUAGUCCAUGCCGUAAACGUUGGGCACUAGGUGUGGGGGACAUUCCACGUUUUCCGCGCCGUAGCUAACGCAUUAAGUGCCCCGCGUGGGGAGUACGGCCGCAAGGCUAAAACUCAAAGAAAUUGACGGGGGCCCGCACAAGCGGCGGAGCAUGCGGAUUAAUUCGAUGCAACGCGAAGAACCUUACCAAGGCUUGACAUAUACUGGAUUGCGUCAGAGAUGGCGUUUCCCUUCGGGGCUGGUAUACAGGUGGUGCAUGGUUGUCGUCAGCUCGUGUCGUGAGAUGUUGGGUUAAGUCCCGCAACGAGCGCAACCCUCGUUCUACUGUUGCCAGCACGCGAUGGUGGGGACUCAUAGGAGACUGCCGGGGUCAACUCGGAGGAAGGUGGGGAUGACGUCAAAUCAUCAUGCCCCUUAUGUCUUGGGCUUCACGCAUGCUACAAUGGCCGGUACAGAGGGUUGCGAUACUGUGAGGUGGAGCUAAUCCCUAAAAGCCGGUCUCAGUUCGGAUUGGGGUCUGCAACUCGACCCCAUGAAGUCGGAGUCGCUAGUAAUCGCAGAUCAGCAACGCUGCGGUGAAUACGUUCCCGGGCCUUGCACACACCGCCCGUC
rnacentral:rRNA from 1 species